UUUGAAUUGUUUCAAAGAUCUUUGAUGUAUUUGGAUGAUAACAAGUGUAUCCAUGGUAAUUUUUUUCUGUCAAAUAAUUUUCAUUUACUUAUUUACAACAUCUUUUCUUCCAGAUUUGUCUAUAAAACUGUAUUUUAUUAUACACAUACAUACUAGAAUGUGGCUAUAUAUAUUGGACCACUAAGAAAAAAUAAUUGAAUUUCAUUAAUACAUUUUAAUUAAUUAUAUUUCUAAACAUUAUUAUUACAUACUGUGUGUUUUGUUGUCAUAAAUGCAUUUUUAUAAUACAAAUAAAUGCAUGCCAAAACUUAUUUCUUAUUACAGUCCAUACCAACCAUGUAUGGAAUGAAAAAUUGAACAACACAUUGUUCAUCAAUUAUGAUAUUUACAUUCGGGAGUCUUAGGGAUCUGAGUUGACAAUACAUUGAUCAAGCUCCUCAUUUAUCAAUCAUCACUCACUCAUCGCUUCUGUCAUGAACAAAACAGGAAAUAGCAAAAGAUAUUGAACUGUCCACAGAUGUUAUACUAUUACAAUCAACCACAUUUUGCCAAAACAUAUUUGAGAAAUCUCCUUUCUGUUGGGUGGGAGGGAUGACAAAAACCUCUGGAAAAUCAGCUAGAGUGAUUUGUGGUUGGUGGGGAACAUUUUGUUCAAUUUUUAAAGCAUUUAAAUAUUGAGCAAAAUUUUUUGCUGCACUGCUGUCAAAUAAUUUGAUAGAACCUCAUAUUUGCAAUUCAUCCAUAACUUUUUAUUAAAUAAAAAAUUUGUCCCGAAGUUAUGUGGAAGGAAUGAGAAGAACUUAAAAAAUUAUAGCAGACACAAUUGCAAUUAAGGUAU